GCGAUUGGACUACUGGCAUCCUGUUGGAAAUCUCAGAAAGCGAUUGUUUUAAUGCGGCUCGAAAUUAUUCUUCAGUCUACUGGUCUCCAAUCAAUGUCGUAUGCGUAGCAUUUGAAAAUGAAUACACCAUAUUAUAUGAUGGAUUCGGUCGCUGGCAAGCCUGGUUAACGUCGAAUCCAGUUUGUUUGGAGUUCACGUUAAAUAGACACAUUGGUCACAUGGUAGUAGGGGAGACCACGUAUAACACUUCUACCUACACUUCAUCGCUUGAGCACUGCUUCCGGGAAUGUUUUGACGACAGUCUCUGCUACACAUUCGUGUAUUCCUCCAACAUGUGUUACAAGUACGGAUGUGAUGGUAAUUGUCAGCUGGCCUCUAGCGGUGCAAAUACUGUUUACCAGCGCGUUUGUCUCGAAGAUUGCAUGCCGUUGAUUAACACAUCCCAAUACGCCGUAACAAUAGUUGGUGGUUUUUCAAACGGCGCGAUGGCAAAUUACACGUGCAAACCAGGACAUACCUAUCACACUGGGAACCUUACAA